rnacentral:rRNA from 1 species
UCGACCGCCUGGGGAGUACGGCCGCAAGGUUAAAACUCAAAUGAAUUGACGGGGGCCCGCACAAGCGGUGGAGCAUGUGGUUUAAUUCGAUGCAACGCGAAGAACCUUACCUACUCUUGACAUCCAGCGAAUUCGGUAGAGAUACCUUAGUGCCUUCGGGAACGCUGAGACAGGUGCUGCAUGGCUGUCGUCAGCUCGUGUUGUGAAAUGUUGGGUUAAGUCCCGCAACGAGCGCAACCCUUAUCCUUUGUUGCCAGCGGGUUAUGCCGGGAACUCAAAGGAGACUGCCAGU